UUAAUUGAAGCCAAAAUAGAGGCAAUUCAUUGUUAAUGAACAAACUGAUAAAUAAUCCAAUUAAA
rnacentral:tRNA from 1 species